CGGGACUACAGGGGUUUCUAAUCCUGUUUGCUCCCCACGCUUUCGCGCCUCAGCGUCAGAACCGGACCAGUAAGCCGCCUUCGCCACUGGUGUUCUUGCGAAUAUCUACGAAUUUCACCUCUACACUCGCAGUUCCACUUACCUCUUCCGGUCUCAAGCCCGACAGUAUCGAAGGCAAUUCUGUGGUUGAGCCACAGGCUUUCACCCCCGACUUAUCAGGCCGCCUACGCGCCCUUUACGCCCAGUGAUUCCGAACAACGCUAGCCCCCUUCGUAUUACCGCGGCUGCUGGCACCC
rnacentral:misc_RNA from 1 species